UAGGCAACCAGACAAACUGAGAGUGGUGUGGACACGGAGGAACAGGCGCAUUUGCUCAAAGCUUCAUGCAUGGCAGCCAGGCAUCAAAAACCCCUACAGGGGAAUGGUGGUAUGGCCCGUACCUGAGAACGUGGACAUUACCGUCACACUCUACAGGGACCCACAUGCGGAUGAGUUUGAAGACAAAGAGUGGACAUUUUUCAUUGAGAAUGUGAG